GAGGGUAUAGCUGGGUGGUAGAGCACGUGCUUAGCGCACAUGAGGCCCUGGGUUCAAUCCCCAGUACCUCCA
rnacentral:tRNA from 1 species